ACCAGAUUUCGCCAUAUUGCUCAGGAUGGUCUUGAACUCCUGGGCUCAAGUGAUCCGCCUGCCUUGGCCUCCCAGAAUGCCAGGAUUACAGAUAAACAGCUUGAUGGAUUGCUGAGGCAGAGUGCACCGAGCAAGGGUUCAGUCCUCCAUAGAGCUCAGAGCAAAAGGAAUGACCCAGCCGGGAUGAACUUGAACCUAUGGCCACCUAGCUCUGGUUUCUGCUUGGACAUUUUAUUUCAAUCUUAUGGCCUGCCUUGCGCUCCAAGGGUUACUUAUUUCCUCUGCACAUAUUUUAUUUUGAUGCCAAAAUUUCAGAUCUGUUUUCUUAAGAGCAGAAGGUCUUGACCUCAAAGCCCGGGCCAUCACACAGCUCUCUGUGGAGUGGGGUGAGGGAGGCCAGCUGCCGGUCACCUUCUGCUCCAGCACCGUGGGAGGCCUGAGUGGCAAAGCUCCAGCCCCGCUGCUCCCGGGCGGUGUCCGCAACAAGAGGCUUCCGCCCCAUCCCACCAGCCAUCCACGGAGACGCCCUCCCCAGAGGUCAGGAGGGUAGCGGGGGAAGGAAAUGCCAAUCAAUCCAUCAAAGCCCCGCCCUCCCGGGGCUCCUAGGCCCCGGGAGCUGCGUCUGCGCAUCCUUGACCCACUCCUGGGGGCCAGGAGCUGGGCGAGCCGGGGAAGUGCAUUUGGUAAUGAUUCUCGAUUUCCUGUUUGGUUUCUGUCCAGGGGGCUUUGGGAUAGGCUAACUCGUAUUAUAUGUGUACACAUGCACAUUUCAUUCCUCCUUGUCUGUUUUUUUUUUUUCCUUUGCUACUUUUCCUCCUCUAUGGCUUGUGUUUUUUGUUGUUGUUGUUAAUUGGUGUGGCACAGUAGUGGAGCGAGUUCCCAGCCUCCUUUGGCGAAAUGUGUAGAAAAGUGGAGGCAAGAGGUAGGAAGAGGCCUGGAGGCUCUGUCUGGACUCCUGGGAUUUGGCCUGUCGGCCAGGGAGAUUCUCUCCCAAGACAUGGAUCAUGAUAAAGCUGUAAAGAAUCUAUUUAGGUAAGCAAACAUUUAUUUAGUGCUUACUGUCUGCAUGGGAUACAAAGGCACGAAAAAAAGCUCAGUCUUGCCUUCUAAGAGGUGAAAGAGAGAGAAGAAGAGGGGCAAGGAAAGAGAGGAUGUCAAAGUAGUUUGGUAAAUGCGAUGGCAGAAAUAGGCUCGGAUAGAGAUGGGGGGACAUUGUGUGGUCACAUAACCUUUGGUUCAGCUCUCUCUUCCAUGCAGGACCCAGCCUUAGUUAUCCAAGAUGUUGAGGGCACCUCUCACCAAAAUAACAAUCCAAGAAAUAAACCCAGGCAUCACUGCCAAGCCCCUCCCCACCCCCUCAACACACCAUCCUGCUGCCUGUGUCUCCAGCCUUAUGUGGUCUGGCAAGGUUGGGCUACUUCCGGCAGCCACCGUUUGCUCCCUAGGAUGCAAUCUUAGCCUCCAUGGGGCUGGCCUGCUGGAAUCUGGGACCACGUGAGCCUAUGAGCCUCAGGGAGGCUGGGAUGCCAGGGAGGAGCCAGCACUCCUGGAGGCUCUGUGAUCUGCUCUGGCCACAUUAAAUAAAGGCUUUGAUCCCUCCAAUGGGGAGAAGGGAGAGCUCUCCCUUUUCAGCACCUUCUAAUAUCCUUCCCCCUUGCUGUGCCCGGCCCCACUGUCACCUCACCGAGGAGGAGACAGGAUGUGUUUCCAGCGGGGCCUUUUUUCUUCCCGAUUUAGACUGGGAGUGAAUGAAGCUCAUUAAACUGAUUGUGGUUGUA
rnacentral:lncRNA from 1 species